rnacentral:rRNA from 1 species
UACGUAGGGUGCAAGCGUUGUCCGGAAUUAUUGGGCGUAAAGAGCUCGUAGGCGGUCUGUCACGUCGGCUGUGAAAACCCGGGGCUCAACCCCGGGCCUGCAGUCGAUACGGGCAGACUAGAGUGCGGUAGGGGAGACUGGAAUUCCUGGUGUAGCGGUGAAAUGCGCGAUAUCAGGAGGAACACCGGUGGCGAAGGCGGGUCUCUGGGCCGUAACUGACGCUGAGGAGCGAAAGCGUGGGGAGCGAACAGG